GAAAUGCGAUAAGUAAUGUGAAUUGCAGAAUUCAGUGAAUCAUCGAAUCUUUGAACGCACAUUGCGCCCGCCAGUAUUCUGGCGGGCAUGCCUGUUCGAGCGUCAUUUCAACCAUCAAGCCCCCGGGCUUGUGCUGGGGACCUGCGGCUGCCCGCAGGCCCCGAAAACCAGUGGCGGGCUCGCUGUCACUCCGAGCGUAGUAGAUUUAUCUCGCUCAGGGCGUGCUGUGGGUUCCGGCCGUAAAACACCCCCCUUACCUCAAGGUUGACCUCGGAUCAGGUAGGAAUACCCGCUGAACUUAA
rnacentral:misc_RNA from 1 species